GGUUGAUUGAUCAUGAUCAUGAUUGAUUGAUUGAUUGAUUGAUUGAUUGAUUGAUUGAUUGAUUGAUUGGUUGGUUGGUUGGUUGGUUGUUGGUUGGUUGGUUGAAAUUCAAACACACAUAAAACUGUUUAAAUAGUGCCAAAACCACAUAAUUUGAUGACCUUGACCUUUGACCUUGUAACCUUCGUCAAGGUCAUUGCUCCACAAGGUCAUUGCAAAAGACCCUAUGGGUCAAGGACCUUUUGUUUAAGAGUUUUGCCUAAAAAUGGCCUUUUUAAAAACCAUCGAUGGGAGUUAUGUCCCUUACAUGAUGGUAAAAUCAAUAUAGUCAUAAUGUAAAAAAAGUUGCCCCUUGAAGUACCAAGCAUUUUUCACUGCUUAAUUUUUUUGUAUCUAUAACCGUUCAAGAGUUAUAGGGAAAUCAAAGACAUAUGAAAAUCUAAAAUAUGACCUUGACCUUUGACCUUGACCUAAUUUUCUAAGUUAGGAAUCAGGGGACUCAAAUAAAAACAUUCCAGGGUUAUACGGUUAACGGUUUAUGAGUUAAAAAAACAUACCGACAAAUUUAUUCCGAAAAGAUAGAUAACUCCUAUAAAAUUUCUUCGAAUCGCUUCGAUCCAAAUACGCCAAAAAUUACUGAGGAUGUAACGAACAAUUUUGUAAAAUAAAUUUGUCAUAAUCUUUAACGGUUGCGAAGGAGAUGCCAUAACAAGGAAAACAGUGUUUGGGGAGAUAACUCCUACAAAGAAAAGUAUUCGUUUACGCAGGGUAAAUUUCAAAAGCGCAUAAACUGUUCGAUAUCAUAUACAAAAUAUCUAAGCGACAUAUUGCGAAACAAAUGUUUAUCGCAAGAACAAAAUUAGGCGGAAGAAAAAAAAAAAAAAUAAUCAGAAGAAAAACAAUAGGUCUUUCCACAGAAAAGUGGAAAGACCUAAUAAUAUGGGAAAAAACUGGAGUUGUCGUUCGUUUUACGUUGAUAGGAUAGAUAGCACACAAACUACAUUCAGUUGUCAGUGGAGGGUAAAAAAAAAGGGGGGGCCAAAAGAGGGUCUCGGAGAGGAUUUUUUUUUUUUUUUUAUAUUAAUGGAACAGAAUGGUUAAAAAGGCCUUUUUACAAUAUAAAUCAAUUGCUUUAAAAAAGCAAUUGUAGGGGGUCUUUCCCCCUGUAAAAUUAAUUGAAUUGGGGGGUGUUUGUUUGUUUGUUUGUUUGUUUGUUUCUGUAUGGGGUCUAUAUUAUUGUUACCGGAGAAGUUUCAUGUUUAGUUUGGAAAGUUUUUCUUUUAUUUUAGGUACAGCGCGCGCGCCACAUCACGUGACACGGGUUUAUAAUAACGAAAAGAUAGUCUUUUUAUUUCUUUUUAGGUCGGGACGUUAAACAGACAACAUCUAUAGAGAUGGAAUGUACACAAUGUAAUUUCUUUUGUCAUUGUAGGAAAUUGACAUUUUGAUCACAGUUCACAAGCAGUGCAUGUUUUGGAUUUAAUUGAUCCGGUGUAACUUUAAAACACAUUUAUUGAUUAUUUUCUGAUAAUGUACAUUUUUCAGCACCUGUUUGUAACACAGAUUAGUAUUUCAAUCUCGGAGCGGACAUU
rnacentral:lncRNA from 1 species